GGAGUAGUCCAGACGAUCGCUGAAGCAUAUUUGCUUUCAGAGGAAAGUCCGAACACCAUAGGGCAGGGUGCUCCAUAAUGUGGAGUCAUGGCAACAUGAAGGAAAGUGCAACAGAAAAUAUACCGCCCCGCAGUGGCGGGGUAAGGGUGAAAUGGUGCGGUAAGAGCGCACCAGUUCUCCGGGUGACCGGGGAAGCUUGGCAAACCCCACCUGGUGCAAGACCAAAUAAAGGAGUGUUUGAGGGUUGCCCGCCUAAGCUCCAGGGUAGGUCGCAAGAGAUGCCGGGCAAUCGGCAUCCGAAGAUGAAUGAUCGUUAUCCAGUUCAGGGUAACCUUAACUGGGAACAAAAUUCGGCUUAAGGGCUGCUCUGGCC
rnacentral:RNase_P_RNA from 1 species